rnacentral:ncRNA from 2 species
AUAAUUUGCCACCAAACAGGUGCCUCUUACGUAAAGAGGAGAAUAGGGAAGUUCGGAAGGAUUGUAAAGAUCCUUAAACGACGCGGUCGCGCCACUGUAAUCGGGGAGAUACUCUUACAUUGCCACCAGGAAACUGGGAAGGCGUAAGGUUUUAUGAUCCGUAAGUCAGGAGACCUGCCUGUUAUGGCUGUCAUUU